rnacentral:rRNA from 1 species
GAUGAACGCUGGCGGCGUGCCUAAUACAUGCAAGUCGAGCGAACGGACGAGGAGCUUGCUUUUCUGAUGUUAGCGGCGGACGGGUGAGUAACACGUGGAUAACCUACCUAUAAGACUGGGAUAACUUCGGGAAACCGGAGCUAAUACCGGAUAAUAUUUUGAACCGCAUGGUUCAAAAGUGAAAGACGGUCUUGCUGUCACUUAUAGAUGGAUCCGCGCUGCAUUAGCUAGUUGGUAAGGUAACGGCUUACCAAGGCAACGAUGCAUAGCCGACCUGAGAGGGUGAUCGGCCACACUGGAACUGGAACACGGUCCAGACUCCUAAGGGAGGCAGCAGUAGGGAAUCUUCCGCAAUGGGCGAAAGCCUGACGGAGCAACGCCGCGUGAGUGAUGAAGGUCUUCGGAUCGUAAAACUCUGUUAUUAGGGAAGAACAUAUGUGUAAGUAACUGUGCACAUCUUGACGGUACCUAAUCAGAAAGCCACGGCUAACUACGUG